rnacentral:lncRNA from 7 species
UUAAAGGGGCAAUGGAGAAAUGACAUAUUCAAUGGACAGGGCACUAUAAUUCAUUGUUCCUGUGACAUCUGUGAUAGACUGUGGAUCAAUGGGUGCACUGCUGCUUUGAGAAAAGGGACCAAGACCAGCAAGUGAAACCUGCUCUGUUGAUGCAUGCUCUAAGAAAUGGAGGGGAGGGAGAAGAAAGCUGAAGAUUGGCUGCUCUGUGUUUUGCUUAGAAGAAAAGCCAAGCUUACACAUAUGGAAGAUUGCCAGAUACUCUAAACCCUAUUUUGGUUAAAUUACAGUACCCAUAUUUUGAUAACAAAGCACAUUGAUUUCAUAUUCAAAAAGAUUUUUAUAUUUAGUCUGUUAACCUUUUGUAAUUCCCACCCACAGCUUUAAACUGUAGAACAUUUUUAUGCUAAUUGUUGUCAGUAGGGUAUCUGCCGUGGCCCCUUGGCAAUUUAAAUCCAUUGAAUUGUAAUGCAGGUGCUGAUAAUUGCAGAACUGUUAUUGUUUGGCUGCAGAAUGUGCGUCUCAACUCUUUGCAAAUUGGAUUUAAGAACUCUUAAAAAUCCCAUAUUUGAAGACAAACUUGCAUUGUUUUAAUUAAUAAUAAAAGGAAGAAUUUUUUUCUCUUGUCUUUGGAUAUUUUUAUGUACUCUCAGUUUUAAAGCAGUCUUCACUGUGUCAGAUUCUGUUCAGCAGCUAUUGUAAGCUCAUAAAGAUGUCUCUUAGCCCCAUUGUUUCUGGAUGUUUAUAAGCAUUCCUGUCUAGCAAUUUCUGGAAAGUAUGGUUGUUUGGUGCAGCAUUGUAAUCCAGCAAAUAGGAUGUGGAAAUGAGAGGAAGAAAGAAGCUCUGUGUGUGAGCCCAGGUUGUCUGCGUGGUUUGGGAUAUUACUUCCUCCAGUCUUGCUUUCAUGGGAUAAAAUAAUGGCAUUACUUUGUCUUUAAGCAUCCUCUGAGCUACAUUUUAGCCAAUGGAGUUCUGUCCUAUGAUCUUAAUGGACAAAUCUAUGUUUUCUAUCCGUAAGAAAACAAUAUUAUUUACUUUACCAGAAUCUUCAUUAUGUUCUUCAUAAAAAUCUACAUAAUGCAGAGUUGAUUAUGCAAUAACACUUUGGAAUACACAAUGUGCUAAAGUGCUGCCUGGGAAAAUAUUUUAAAUACAGAGUAGUCAUUACUUUUAUUAAAUGAUUAUAAUUUUAGUAGGUUUGAUGAACCC